AUAUCAGUCAUGCAUAGCAUAUCAAUAAGCGGAGGAAAAGAAACUAACAAGGAUUCCCUAGUAACGGCGAGUGAAGCGGGAAGAGCUCAAAUUUGAAAUCUUCAAGGUUUUACCUUGACGAAUUGUAGUUUAAAGAAGUGUUUUCUGUUGAAGUUUUGGUAAAAGUUCUUUGGAAUAGGACAUCAUAGAGGGUGAGGAUCCCGUAUUUGACCAUUACUUUCAGCUUUGUGAUACACUUUCAAAGAGUCGGAUUGUUUGGGAAUGCAGUCCAAAAUGGGUGGUAAAUUUCAUCUAAAGCUAAAUAUUGGCGAGAGACCGAUAGCGAACAAGUACCGUGAGGGAAAGAUGAAAAGAACUUUGAAAAGAGAGUUAAACAGUACGUGAAAUUGUCAAAAGGGAAGCGUUUGACACCAGUGUUGUUUUCUCGAAAAUCAAUUAAAAAGAGUUGGAUUUUGUGUUGUAUUGACUUUAUCAGGCUUUCUUCACUCUUUUCCAGCUUUUUUUAAUGCACUUUUCGUUUAACAAGUCAACAUCAGUUUCUUUUGUUGUAAAAAGGUCAUUGGAAGGUGGCUUUCUCUUCGGAGAAAGUGUUUAUAGCCUUUGACUCAUGCAAUCGGAGAGACUGAGGUCUGCAGCGUAGAUCCUUCGGGGUUAGAUACAUUUGUGCUAAGUUAUAGCUUUUCAUAGACAACUUGUUGACUAUGUUUAGUCUUGUAGCUUACUCGCUUAUGCUAUUUUACCUACGCUUAGGAUGUUGAACUCUAUCACACACAG
rnacentral:rRNA from 1 species